UCUAAUUAACAGAACACCACUGCAGUAUUCUAAUGAACAGAACACCACUGCAGUAUUCUAAUGAACAGAAGUUCUGUUCAUUAGAAUACUGUAGUGGUGUUCUGUUCAUUAGAAUACUGCAGUGGUGUUCUGUUCAUUAGAA
rnacentral:pre_miRNA from 1 species